GAGGGAGAUCGUCGGGAAGUCCGGGAAAAGAAGACAAAAUAACUACGACCCUUUCUCGAUUUCUCCGCCCUCGAAAUCAACAAUAGAAGCUUCUGAAUCCAUUUAACGUCGAUUCCACAGCUGAAGCCAAGUGGCCAUUGAUGCGUUAAAUAAAAAGUUCAACUAAAUAUUUUUCAAAGCUAAAAAACAAAGCAGCAGCUACGUGCGGGAGAUUGAGAAUCCCCAUUUGGAGAACGGUGGGUGAUAUGGGACGUUACUUUCGAAGGGGCAUCGCUAGAAGUAAUGCAAAGUUUGCACACGAGCCACGGAGAAAACCCAGAAGUUGGGACAGACCAAAGAACUUGAGCAAAUAAGCAAUAAGACAACAACUAACAAGUGAAAAGUCUCGCGAAAGUCAGGGUAUUUAUCUUGGGGAUACCCUGGAUUUAUCGCAUACAACUUUCACUGUAAUCCGAAUUAUCUUAGCCAAGUUUUUUACUUAUUUACCAAUCUACCAUUAGCGUUCUCCCAUAGGCAACCAUUUACAGGGUAACAGCGGCCCUUCCACCCACAAAAAUCGCCCUUUCAGCUUCCCCCUUCGUAGGUAGACUCCAUAGCAGAAUCCGAUCCGGACCGGAAUACUCCCCGUGCCCGGGACACCGCUUGUCAGUUUCUAUCCUUCGGCCAGGACACGUACACAAACAUUUCAUGGUUCAAUAAAUUUGCUGCCGAGCGUACCGGAAACUUUGCGAAAAAUACAUUGGGAAAAUGCUCGGCGCUGCACUGGUGAAGGCAGAGAAAUUAUCUGUAGACCAGGACCUGCCUCCUACACACACACACACAUAAGCACGCACACACGAAGGGGCCACCUGCACACACACACACAUAAACAUGGAGAAGAAAUAAAAUUGCAGCUGUGUGCGAGCACCGCCUCGUAUAAUUUUG
ensembl:ncRNA lncRNA:CR45262 long non-coding RNA:CR45262